GUUGCAACAAGUACUUAUUUAUGUACAGGGCUGGAGGAUGGGCCCAAGGUGGGGUGGUAGUCCGUUUGUAAGGUUGUGGGCAGUGUAUGUGGUGGGCUGAUGUGGUUAAGCCUAAGAAACUCCAGGAAAGCACUGCAUAGGAGCUGGUUCCAGGACUGCAGAGGGAUCUACACUUCUGUUUGUUUCUGCCCAAAAAAAAAAAAAAAAAAAAAAAAAAAAAAUUCUCAGCAGGGUGAAGUCCCUAGACUUCAGCAGCUGUUGUGUGACCCAGGGUAGGGACAGGGAGAGAACUUUAGUCACAGCCUGUGGUGGGCAGUACUGCAGCCUUGAAUUUGAAACUGGUGGUUUUUGGUUGUAGGUGUAAAUGCAUUUGCACCCGUCUGAGAACUUGUUGGUUCCUGCUCUUGCCAUCCUGUGUCUGCCCUCACAUGGCACUCCUUGACCUUGAUGCUGUGAGAUAUGAUCUCCUGGGCAGGCAAAGAGAAGCCCCUGGUUCCCCUCUACUCACUCUCCCCAGGGACUCCACGUGGGAACUGCUGUGGGCAGCGAGUUCAGCCACAGACUGACACUGCCGACCCCAUCUCUUGCAUUGGGCAUCAGCUCUACCUACCUCCCCCCUGCAGGGCAAGGCCCUGAGCUUCUCAGCCCAGCACCAUCUGUUCCUAGCCAGCCCAUUCUGGGCCUGCCUGGUCCCUUCAUCCUCAGCGCCCAUACAGGUGACAUGUCCGGGUGAAUAACUUCUCUGGACAAGUUGGGUGUUGCCUUAUUCCCAUUUCCAGCCCCUCCUCCCAGUGUACACAGAUACCACCUGCCACCCAAGCCAGCUUGUUUUUCAACACAUGGGGAGAGCAGAGCCCAGCCCCUUGUGUCUUUGAAGUAGGAAGAAAAAUGAGUGUUCAGGAACAUGGCUCCUGGACUGGCUUGGGGCCCAGUUCAGUGUCUCAUCGCAAAUCUAGGCAUUUUUGCUUCAAUUUUAUUUUUUUUAAGAAAAUAAAAUAAAACUCUGCACUAAUUUACCUGGUUUGUAGAAAAACUUUUUUUUUUAUUUUUUUACAUUUUUUGGUGUCUGUUUGUAUUGAAUAAUUUGCUACAUUUGUAAAAUGUGAGAGGUAUAUAAUAUAUGUAUAUUUCUAAUGUAAGAAACGUAAUUUUUUUCUUUUCAAGAUUUUUUCUUAAAAAGAGGAAAGAAACCAAUAUUUUUUCAGGAAAAACAAACUUUAAAAAAUAGGAACAUGAAACCUUUUUCCUCCCCUUUCCCAUUCUCUCCAUCCCUCUCGCCCAGGAGCGAAACUGAAGGUGGACUGUCUUAAGAACGUCAGCUGUCAGUCCAGAACUGAGGUGGACUGUCUUGAGAACGUCAGCUGUCAGUCCAGAAUGCUGUCUUCUUCUCGAUGCUGUAGCAUCUCCCCCGGGGUGGGAAUAGGCAUCGAGGCAGCCAUAGAGAGGAAGCCGGGAGCAGGGCAAUGACCUUUCUUUCUCUAGUGAAGGAAAAAUGCAAUCAAGACAUUUUGUAUUCAGAACGUUGUGCAAUAUUUUGGAAUGAGACAUUGGUGUGUUUAGAGAUUUAGUUUCAAAACAAAGAUUGAUCAAAUCUGUACAGUUUAUAUUGUUCCAGAUUUUUUUAAGUUUGUAUUAAAAGCAUGAUAUAUAAUA